GAUGAACGCUGGCGGCGUGCCUAAUGCAUGCAAGUCGAGCGAACGGACGAGAAGCUUGCUUCUCUGAUGUUAGCGGCGGACGGGUGAGUAACACGUGGAUAACCUACCUAUAAGACUGGGAUAACUUCGGGAAACCGGAGCUAAUACCGGAUGAUAUUUUGAACCGCAUGGUUCAAAAGUGAAAGACGGUCUUGCUGUCACUUAUAGAUGGAUCCGCGCUGCAUUAGCUAGUUGGUAAGGUAACGGCUUACCAAGGCAACGAUGCAUAGCCGACCUGAGAGGGUGAUCGGCCACACUGGAACUGAGACACGGUCCAGACUCCUACGGGAGGCAGCAGUGGGGAAUCUUCCGCAAUGGGCGAAAGCCUGACGGAGCAACGCCGCGUGAGUGAUGAAGGUCUUCGGAUCGUAAAGCUCUGUUAUUAGGGAGGAACAUAUGUGUAAGUAACUGUGCACAUCUUGACGGUACCUAAUCAGAAAGCCACGGCUAACUACGUG
rnacentral:rRNA from 1 species